CCCGUCACAUCACGAAAGUGGGCCGGUACUAGGUAAGUCGGUGUGCUAACUCGCAAGAGAGGCAGCCGCCCAAGGUACAGCUCAUGAUUGGGGUG
rnacentral:rRNA from 1 species